AUGCAACCAAACUCUAACCGUUAAAGUCGAACUAGCCGUUGCAAUUCUUACGUCACAGAAGUGACAGCCCUGCAGAUCAUCAUUAUAAAUAGGAGAUAGAGAUAGGAUCAAUUCGCAUUUAAAAUCAAAGAAACUCCCUUUAUAAUGUCGUCCGAAGAUCGAUCAGGUAUCUCUCUUCUUCCUUCUUCCUUCUCUUACUCUGUUUUUCUGCUUCUUUGUUUUUCUUCUGCAAAUAUGUUGCUCCGGAAUUCUCCUCAUAAGGAUCCUGAGAAGAACAGUCCCUUGAAAGGUCAAG
rnacentral:lncRNA from 1 species